rnacentral:rRNA from 1 species
UACGUAGGUGGCAAGCGUUGUCCGGAAUUACUGGGCGUAAAGGGCGUGUAGGCGGAUACUUAAGUCAGGUGUGAAAUCUUUGGGCUCAACCCAGAGUUUGCAUUUGAAACUGGGUAUCUUGAGUGCAGGAGAGGAUAGUGGAAUUCCUAGUGUAGCGGUGAAAUGCGUAGAUAUUAGGAGGAACACCAGUGGCGAAGGCGACUGUCUGGACUGUAACUGACGCUGAGGCGCGAAAGCGUGGGGAGCAAACAGGAUUAGAUACCCU